rnacentral:rRNA from 1 species
ACAGUCACACAUUAGAUACCCCCGUAGUCCCAGCCGUAAACUAUGCUCGCUAGGUGUCAGGCAUGGCGCGACCGUGUCUGGUGCCGCAGGGAAGCCGUGAGGCGAGCCACCUGGGAAGUACGGCCGCAAGGCUGAAACUUAAAGGAAUUGGCGGGGGAGCACAACAACGGGUGGAGCCUGCGGUUUAAUUGGACUCAACGCCGGACAACUCACCGGGGACGACAGCAAUAUGUAGGCCAGGCUGAAGACCUUGCCUGAAUCGCUG